UGUGUGCCUAUGAUGGGUUUAAAUAUACUAUGAGUUACUACUACUAUGAAAAGAACUUGAUCUGAGGCGCUUU
rnacentral:snoRNA from 1 species